GAUGACGAAGAGGCAGCUGGUGACUGGAGGCGUGACGUGUGCCUGUCCUUCAGAAGGAAGGGAAGAGGGAGACUCUCGGCCCCUUGAAAGCUAAGUUGAGGCAACGGUGCUGGGGAAGGGCUUGGGGGAGCGAGGGCGGCACGGUUGGCUGUGGCAGGAAGGGGUUUUAAAGAGAGCGUAGGGGAGAGGGUUGUCUAGGAAGCGGUCCCCUUUGAGCAGGGGAAUGGAGCGGGUUCCUCUGAAAUAUGACGGCAGUGUGCCCCGGGCAGGGCGGUUCCAGGCUGUGUGUGUCGUUGUGUAGUGCGUCUGUGUGUUGGGUGCGUUUGACCUUCCUCGGGUCUCGGUUGUUCUUUGUUCCGUAGGAUCGAGGCGGGUGCCUUGGCAGCGUUACUAGGGCCUGGCGAGGCCCUAGUCGUGGGCACGGCGCCCAUCGGGCGCUUCUCUUUUGGCGUCGCAAGCUUCCGGCGUGGAUCGUUUUGGCGUCUCGGGUGGUUCUGGCCGGUGGUCUUGUGCCGCGCCGUUCCCGGCCACGUGAGCGGCUCUGUUAGCUAGCUGUCUCUUUUAGGGACUGGCACUUCUUCCUUGCAUCUUCAGGGGCUGAGGUCUUGAAGGCGUCUGCUUGCUUGCGCAUCCAUCUCAUCAGUUUUGAGAGGAAGCGCUUGUCCCCGCCCACGAAGGUCUCGUCGUUUUCUGGCGUGGCGCCAGGAGCACGCUAGGGUUCUGCGCGUGCUCUUCCCGGAUGGAGGUUUUCUGUACGUGCGUCGUCGGUCUCGCCGAGUGACUCGGCUUGUUUUUUGAGGCGUGUUGUUGUUGGCGUUCCGUGUAGGGUUCGUCUGUGGUUGUGGUGUCUUGGCUUGGAGCCGCCCUGCCCGGGGGUGUCGAGUCAGGGCAAGGUGGCACGGGAGAGAUGAGAGGCUAUGGCUUAUGUGUCAAAGUGCCUUGCUUCUUUGGGGGAAAAGAUGUGUGGCCCUUUUAGAUCGAGCGGCCGUUGUCAGUGGGUGAGAAAAAGAAUUCCCACGGUGUUUUGUGGCCUCCCAGGGGAUGAUGGUAGCUGUCUGGGAGAGGGAGCUCCUGCUUCAGCGGAGCAGAGAGCAUCUCAAGGACAUUCCGGCUUGGAUGUGGGUCGGGCGUAAUGCUUGGUUUACGGUGUUUAGAUGGCAGAGCAGGCCUAGCUGGGCUCUCGAUGGGCUUGCUACCUGGGAACAAGGCCUGUGGAAUGGCUAAGCUAUUGCUGUUCAUUGAGGGGACUUGUUUGAUAUUUUUGCAGAUGCCAAGGAAGGAGUCGUGCAGGGCGACGGAGGAGGGCCGAGGAUAGCGCUGUAAGCAGGUGGUGGUCAAGCUUGAACGGGGCAGUUGGAUCUGAUGGCGUCCAGGUAGGUGAGCUGGUGAGGAAAAGGUGCGAGUCUUAGACGGGGAUUGGUGUGGGUAGCUUGACAGUUCUGCAGCCUCUCAGCAGGUGCCUUUCUGCUUGGAUUUUUGCAGGUGCCACAAUCAGCCAUCAGAGGGGAGGCGACGCAUGGCGACGAGAGGUCCGAGAAGAUUGUGUGCGGCUGCCCUUGGGACUGGAUGUGCGUUUGAGAUGACGAAGAGGCAGCUGGUGACUGGAGGCGUGACGUGUGCCUGUCCUUCAGAAGGAAGGGAAGAGGGAGACUCUCGGCCCCUUGAAAGCUAAGGGCCGCGAAGGAUGGUGACCGUCCAAGUCCAGCACGGGUAAGGAGCAGCUGGAGAGGUCCUAGAGGAAUGCGACGGGUGGAAAAGCACGCUUUAUGUCUGGUGUUUCCCAAAACUGGAGGCAUAAUAAAGGAGCAUUACUAAUACAAUAAUAAAGUAAAUGAAAACACGUGUCUCAUAGUUUUAUUCAGGCCUCCUAUGUGUUAUUUGUGGGUGGGGUGUAAUUUCCAGUGGGUGGGAUUUAAUGACAGGGCUCUAUGUAGCCCUUAAACUCUAUGGGAGCUAAUUAAAGGAAAAAAAGCAGCAUUAGGGAAUGGCUUUUGGCUCUUUGAGUAAA